UACGGGGGGGGCAAGCGUUGUUCGGAAUUACUGGGCGUAAAGGGCGCGUAGGCGGCCUUCUAAGUCAGACGUGAAAUCCCUCGGCUCAACCGAGGAACUGCGUCUGAUACUGGAAGGCUUGAAUCCGGGAGAGGGAUGUGGAAUUCCAGGUGUAGCGGUGAAAUGCGUAGAUAUCUGGAGGAAUACCGGUGGCGAAGGCGGCAUCCUGGACCGGCAUUGACGCUGAGGAGCGAAAGCCAGGGGAGCAAACGGG
rnacentral:rRNA from 1 species